rnacentral:rRNA from 1 species
UACGGAGGGUGCAAGCGUUAUCCGGAUUCACUGGGUUUAAAGGGUGCGUAGGUGGAUUAGUAAGUCAGUGGUGAAAUCUCCGGGCUUAACCCGGAAACUGCCAUUGAUACUAUUAGUCUUGAAUACCGUGGAGGUCAGCGGAAUAUGUCAUGUAGCGGUGAAAUGCUUAGAUAUGACAUAGAACACCAAUUGCGAAGGCAGCUGGCUACACGAAUAUUGACACUCAGGCACGAAAGCAUGGGGAUCAAACAGG